rnacentral:tRNA from 1 species
GCGAAAAUAACUCAAAGGUAGAGUGUAAUUUUGCCAAGAUUAUGGUUGAGGGUUCGAAUCCCUUUUUUCGCU